rnacentral:misc_RNA from 1 species
GAUGAAGAACGCAGCGAAAUGCGAUAAGUAAUGUGAAUUGCAGAAUUCAGUGAAUCAUCGAAUCUUUGAACGCACAUUGCGCCCAUUAGUAUUCUAGUGGGCAUGCCUGUUCGAGCGUCAUUUCAACCCUUAAGCCUAGCUUAGUGUUGGGAGACUGCCUAAUACGCAGCUCCUCAAAACCAGUGGCGGAGUCUGUUCGUGCUCUGAGCGUAGUAAUUUUUUAUCUCGCUUCUGCAAGCCGGCCAGACGACAGCCAUAAACCGCACCCUCUCGGGGGGCACUUUUUUAAUGGUUGACCUCGGAUCAGGUAGGAAUACACGCUGAACUUAAGCAUAUCAAUAAGCGGAGGA